AGCUUCUGUGAUCCUGUGGAAAUCUUAAGACUGUUUCCUGGGCAACAGUUCUCUGAAUUUGUAACACCCUGAGUAAUUCUGCUGGCCAACCAGAUGUCCUACUGUUUCUGUUCCAACCUCACAAGGCUUUCAGUGCUCCUUGGAACACGAUCUUCACCACGAUCUCAGAUGACCGGCAAUGAAGAACAAGACAGAAAACCUUAGAGAAGGGGAAAAGAAUGACUAGAGAACAGAAUUUUAAUUAUGUCCAUGGAGACAACUUUAUUUCCCAUACUAUAUUCACAGAGGAAUGUGUUCCUCCCUGAUAUUCCCCUAUUCCUUCAAGGAUGCACCAUUGCCUACAAAAUUAAGUUCAAGCUCUUUACCAUGGUAUCCAAGACCCACAAUGAUUUAACUUCAUCCAUGCUCAGUAGUUAGAUUAUUAUUCACUCACUACAGUUGCCAUCUCAGAGGGAUACUGUGUACCAAGGACACGUGGUUGAACUAGCUUUACUCUAUUGACAGGUAUUUGGAAAGCACCUCAUUUAGUCCUCCUAACUAAUCUCUACACAAGUCACACCUCCUUUUGUCCCAUCUGCCUGGGUGUUAUAGGAACUUGAACUUUAUUUAUAUCUGGUUUAGAAGUAUUUAAACACUCGUAAAGAUUUUUCAUCUUUGUCAACCAUAGUGCAUAAAUAUGAUAUUUUCCAAUAUAAUUUCAAAGUUUAAUUGAAGUAUUUAUAAUUUCGUUUGGCAGAUGCUUGGUAAAGAUCCUAAAGCUGUUCUUAAUUUGUGCAUGAAUUUAUAAGUGGCUUUACCAUUUGUUGGAAAAAACAUAGAAACAAUCUG